UUAAAUUAAGGUUAGAUUAAAUUGCAAGUUUAAGCUUCGGGCCUGCCCCCUUACUC
rnacentral:tRNA from 1 species